UUUAGUAAUUCUGAAGGUUUGGAAAUGACAUGGAUGGCAGCAUGUUUAGAAGUUAAGCACAUGCACAUACAGUUUGUGAAACACCCACCUUUAAGUAAUAAUAAUAAAGGAUAUAUUCAGAUAUGCCUGAGCAGUACAAUAGCUAACCCACUAGCAGCAAACUAAGCUAUAUAUAUGCUCGCAGAGAUUAAAAGGAAUGCUUUGACAGAGCAGGCAUUAAUCCAAAGGAAGAGCUAUAUUCUUGUCCACCACUCUGUACAUGAACUCUUUUUUUUUUGAAACGUCACCGGGGGGCAGAAGACGACUGCCCACCUGAUACAUGAACUCUUUGGUCUAUUUCGCUGUCUCUUUUUGAUCAUUCCAGCAGCCAAGCACCUGCCAUAGCAAGAGUAUGGUGGAAAUCUCAGUUUAGUAUGGACUCACACUUUUGGGCACUUCAGGAUAUGAGAUGAUCAAAAUAGUUUAAUGUCUUGGAGAGAAAGCUAGGAACCAAUACGGCACCAAUCUACUUCACACAAGGUCAAGGGUAACGUCAGUGAGACGAACUCCGGCUGCUUGGCAGCGGCAUGGUUCCAGUCCCCUACAGCAGCUUGAGGCAAGCAACAGCCAUAAUACAAAGCUCUUUCUUCAGCAAACGGAGCCACAUCAUUUGUCUCGGUGAUGAUGGCGUCAAACCCUGCCAUCUGUGUAGGUGCAGGCUCAACAUCAGGCUUCCUAUUAUGCAACCAAUAAUGAGAAACCCUUUCCAGGCCAUCGGUUAUAGUUCAGUCAAAGAUCUAUCUAUGAGCCCAACGUGAGUUGACUAACGAGACCGAAAAAGAGAAAUGAUGAACACUUUCAGGCCAAUCAAAGAAAAUAAAAGACAAGGAUACAGCGGACUACUCGUGUUGAAAUUAUCCUCUGUCAGAGGUCAGUUAUUGACAAGAAGCGGCAGAAAAACAUGUAUCCAGGCAAUCCAAAUGUGUCAAAGGUACAUCUGGAAUGUGUGAUACUCCCUCUGUAGGCAAUGUCACGAGUUCCUAACCCCAAAAGCAACCACGCACGUUUCGUCAGUGGAACCAGCAUCAAAUCAGAAGACUCUGGCAAUUAUUUGGGGAUCUUAAUCAACGUAGAGCUCACGGGUGAAGAAACUCGGUUCAGAUUUACUCAGUGCAAAUUCUCGAUCAGAUUAGUUGUGGCCCAUGGAUUAUAGAAGGAUAAAUCAUGGCUGGCUUACCUCGUCAUCGCCGCCGGGCGCCGGGCCGGAGGUUCUACUUCGCGGCGGCCGCGGCGAACGAGGUGGGGGCUUGGCCGGGCAGGGCGGUACAGCCGG
rnacentral:lncRNA from 1 species